AGUGAACGCUGGCGGUAGGCCUAACACAUGCAAGUCGAACGGCAGCACAGUAAGAGCUUGCUCUUACGGGUGGCGAGUGGCGGACGGGUGAGGAAUACAUCGGAAUCUACUUUUUCGUGGGGGAUAACGUAGGGAAACUUACGCUAAUACCGCAUACGACCUACGGGUGAAAGCAGGAGAUCUUCGGACCUUGCGCGAUUGAAUGAGCCGAUGUCGGAUUAGCUAGUUGGCGGGGUAAAGGCCCACCAAGGCGACGAUCCGUAGCUGGUCUGAGAGGAUGAUCAGCCACACUGGAACUGAGACACGGUCCAGACUCCUACGGGAGGCAGCAGUGGGGAAUAUUGGACAAUGGGCGCAAGCCUGAUCCAGCCAUACCGCGUGGGUGAAGCAGGCCUUCGGGUUGUAAAGCCCUUUUGUUGGGAAAGAAAAGCAGCAGGUUAAUACCCCGCUGUUCUGACGGUACCCAAAGAAUAAGCACCGGCUAACUUCGUG
rnacentral:rRNA from 1 species